rnacentral:rRNA from 1 species
CGCUGGCGGCGUGCCUAAUACAUGCAAGUAGAACGCUGAAGAGAGGAGCUUGCUCUUCUUGGAUGAGUUGCGAACGGGUGAGUAACGCGUAGGUAACCUGCCUUGUAGCGGGGGAUAACUAUUGGAAACGAUAGCUAAUACCGCAUAACAAUGGAUGACACAUGUCAUUUAUUUGAAAGGGGCAAUUGCUCCACUACAAGAUGGACCUGCGUUGUAUUAGCUAGUAGGUGAGGUAAUGGCUCACCUAGGCGACGAUACAUAGCCGACCUGAGAGGGUGAUCGGCCACACUGGGACUGAGACACGGCCCAGACUCCUACGGGAGGCAGCAGUAGGGAAUCUUCGGCAAUGGGGGCAACCCUGACCGAGCAACGCCGCGUGAGUGAAGAAGGUUUUCGGAUCGUAAAGCUCUGUUGUAAGUCAAGAACGGGUGUGAGAGUGGAAAGUUCACACUGUGACGGUAGCUUACCAGAAAGGGACGGCUAACUACGUGCCAGCAGCCGCGGUAAUACGUAGGUCCCGAGCGUUGUCCGGAUUUAUUGGGCGUAAAGCGAGCGCAGGCGGUUUGAUAAGUCUGAAGUUAAAGGCUGUGGCUCAACCAUAGUUCGCUUUGGAAACUGUCAAACUUGAGUGCAGAAGGGGAGAGUGGAAUUCCAUGUGUAGCGGUGAAAUGCGUAGAUAUAUGGAGGAACACCGGUGGCGAAAGCGGCUCUCUGGUCUGUAACUGACGCUGAGGCUCGAAAGCGUGGGGAGCGAACAGGAUUAGAUACCCUGGUAGUCCACGCCGUAAACGAUGAGUGCUAGGUGUUGGAUCCUUUCCGGGAUUCAGUGCCGCAGCUAACGCAUUAAGCACUCCGCCUGGGGAGUACGACCGCAAGGUUGAAACUCAAAGGAAUUGACGGGGGCCCGCACAAGCGGUGGAGCAUGUGGUUUAAUUCGAAGCAACGCGAAGAACCUUACCAGGUCUUGACAUCCCGAUGCUAUUUCUAGAGAUAGAAAGUUACUUCGGUACAUCGGUGACAGGUGGUGCAUGGUUGUCGUCAGCUCGUGUCGUGAGAUGUUGGGUUAAGUCCCGCAACGAGCGCAACCCCUAUUGUUAGUUGCCAUCAUUCAGUUGGGCACUCUAGCGAGACUGCCGGUAAUAAACCGGAGGAAGGUGGGGAUGACGUCAAAUCAUCAUGCCCCUUAUGACCUGGGCUACACACGUGCUACAAUGGUUGGUACAACGAGUUGCGAGUCGGUGACGGCGAGCUAAUCUCUUAAAGCCAAUCUCAGUUCGGAUUGUAGGCUGCAACUCGCCUACAUGAAGUCGGAAUCGCUAGUAAUCGCGGAUCAGCACGCCGCGGUGAAUACGUUCCCGGGCCUUGUACACACCGCCCGUCACACCACGAGAGUUUGUAACACCCGAAGUCGGUGAGGUAACCUUUUGGAGCCAGCCGCCUAAGGUGGGACAGAUGA